rnacentral:rRNA from 1 species
UGCCCCAGUAACGGCGAGUGAAGCGGCAACAGCUCAGAUUUGGAAUCUGGCCCCCCCCGGGGGGUCCGAGUUGUAAUCUGGAGAGGAUGCUUCUGGCGCGGCGCCCGGCGAGUUCCCUGGAACGGGACGCCAGAGAGGGUGAGAGCCCCGUACGGCGGGACGCCGCGCCUCUGCGAAGCUCCUUCGACGAGUCGAGUAGUUUGGGAAUGCUGCUCCAAACGGGAGGUAAAUUUCUCCUAAAGCUAAAUACCGGCCGGAGACCGAUAGCGCACAAGUAGAGUGAUCGAAAGAUGAAAAGCACUUUGAAAAGAGGGUCAAACAGUACGUGAAAUUGUUGAAAGGGAAGCGCCCGUGGCCAGACUCGCGCCCCGCGGACCACCCGGCGGACUCCGCCGGGGCACGCCGCGGGGCGCGGGCCAGCAUCGGCCCCCGCAGGGGGACAAGGGCGGCGGGAACGUGGCUCCUCUGGGAGUGUUACAGCCCGCCGCGCCAUGCCCCUGGGGGGGCCGAGG